rnacentral:other from 1 species
AACGCCCUGCUGUGUGCGUGGUCUACCCUGAAGUUUUGUUCCAACACCUUAGAAAAGGGAGCGCGGUCUCUGGAUGUGGCUUGCACGCCUCUUAAUUGAGGAAACAUAAAUCAUCCAGGCGGGCACCCACCUGUGAGAGCAGGUUCAAACUUUUGGUGGGCACGGCAUUAGUGGGGUUUUA